rnacentral:lncRNA from 1 species
CUUUUCUCUUCUAAGGAACUGGCAUAAUUUCUAUAUUAAAAUAAGAAUCCAUGUCCUGUAAGUAGAUAUUUACUAUAUCUUUACUUUCAGAAGUAACGCUGCAUUUCAGAAAUAUCCUGUGGAAAUCUUAUCAUCAUCCAGACCAACAAUACUGCAGCCCAAGAAGAACAUACGCCAUCAGAAGGAUAAGAGAUGCCUUUAGAGAAAACAAGAACAUUGCGGAUUCUGAAAAAAUAGAAGAACUACUGAAUAAAGCCAAAGCAAACCUCCAGAUUAUUCAACGGCAGGUAUGUUUUUCUCAUUUUUAUAGGAGUUGUCCAUUGCUUAUUUAAGUGCUUUAUGCCACCAGAGAUGGAAAAAAAAAAAGAUCCUUGCUUAAAACAUAUCUAGGUGAAUAUCAGUUUUUGUCUGACUUUAUUUGUCCUUCCAUCAUAGGUUCAGAAGGGUGACACUGACACUCACUCUAAAUAACCUCACUUUCUUCAGUGUUCAUUUUUCCCCAUCUCCAGACACAGUGUUGGAAUAGUAACAGAACAAGAAAAUCCUGAAGUGAAUUAAGUAAAUGCUGGCUAAAUGGCAAUAGGUUUUUCUUUGGAAAAUUUACAUCACUGGCAAUAUUUUCCUUCAACCUUGUCUAAGUAGCAUUUAUAGCAUCUCUGUUCCUUCCAAGAGGUACCAUGUUACUAAGAAAUGAAGUAGACUUGGUUGAACUUGAGAUACUUUUUAAUUUCUCAUUUAUAGCUGCUGUGUAUUUAAAGUGACCGCUAAAAAUUGGAAAAAAAGCAGGUUUCUAUGCCUGAACUCUCUAUGGGCACUUGCAGUGCUUAAGCUGCUCCUCCUUGCAAAAUCUGCACUUGCUGACACCAGUCAGAGCUCAGUAGUACUUUUAUUAAACACUGAACAACUAUGUGCACCUGCUCCUCAAUGGUUUAGUAAGGCUCUUUAAACAACCAGCAGGUUAGUUAGAUGGAUUCUUAUUUUAGUAGGGUGCUGGGCCCUUUGAUUUGACAAUUAAGUAUGGAUACUUAGGUGCAAGUUAAUUUUUUUUUAUUUUCUUCUCCCAGGAUCAGGUGUUGUUUUGUGCCACCAUAGUUUUGAUAUCUUU